AUUGAAGAUAAUAUUAUAUGACUAAGAGUGACUAUAAUAUAUAAUCAAAACGUAAAAUCAUUAGCUAUUAAAUUAUUAGUUUUAAUGUGAUUUUGUGAUUACUGUUAUUUACUAUUAUUAUGGUGAGUAUAAGUGAUUAUAAGAUAACUGUAAUCUUUUCUAUUGAUACAAUUGUGGUUAUAAUAUGACUAUGAGUGAUUAUAAGUGAUAGAAGAUGAUGUAAUUACACAACGAGUUAUAAUUACUUUAUGAAGAUCAUUAUAAUAGAAUAUUAAAUACCAUUGAGGAAAUUGAAUUUCACUGGCGGCAAUAGAGGAGAAACGUCUGAAGUAAUAAAAUGAAAAUAUG